UCCCUGGUGGCUCAGAGGUUAAAGCGUCUGCCUCCAAUGCGGGAGACCUGGGUUCAACCCCUGGGUCGGGAA
rnacentral:tRNA from 1 species